CCUACGGGAGGCUGCAGUAAGGAAUAUUGGACAAUGCCCGCAAGGGUGAUCCAGCCAUGCCGCGUGCAGGAAGACGGCCCUAUGGGUUGUAAACUGCUUUUGUACCGGAGAAAACCUCCCCUCGUGAGGGGAGCUGAUAGUAUGGUAAGAAUAAGCAUCGGCUAACUUCGUGCCAGCAGCCGCGGUAAGACGAAGGAUGCAAGCGUUAUCCGGAUUUAUUGGGUUUAAAGGGAGCGUAGGUGGUCUUAUAAGUCAGUGGUGAAAGCCGGUCGCUU
rnacentral:rRNA from 1 species